GGGGAAUUUUGGACAAUGGGGGCAACCCUGAUCCAGCCAUUCCGCGUGAGUGAAGAAGGCCUUCGGGUUGUAAAGCUCUUUCGGCAGGAACGAAACGGCGGGCUCUAACAUAGCCUGUCACUGACGGUACCUGAAGAAGAAGCACCGGCUAACUACGUGCCAGCAGCCGCGGUAAUACGUAGGGUGCGAGCGUUAAUCGGAAUUACUGGGCGUAAAGCGUGCGCAGGCGGUUCCAUAAGACAGAUGUGAAAUCCCCGGGCUUAACCUGGGAACUGCGUUUGUGACUGUGGGACUCGAGUGUGGCAGAGGGGGGUGGAAUUCCACGUGUAGCAGUGAAAUGCGUAGAGAUGUGGAGGAACACCGAUGGCGAAGGCAGCCCCCUGGGUCAACACUGACGCUCAUGCACGAAAGCGUGGGGAGCAAAC
rnacentral:rRNA from 1 species